UCACUCGGGAAAGCUCAGAACCGUCACAGGACUGCCUUGAGAACCUGCACAAAGGGACGGCUUGAGACCUGCAGGCCCUUGGGUCAACAGCCAGUCUUGAACUGGAGAGGUGACAAAGUCACAGUUACUACUAAUACUACUGAAGAUUGGUGCCUGCAGUCAUAAUUGAAGAUGAGACGAUAGUUUAAUUAGAGCAUACCUGUGUCACUGAUGCCGGAGGAAUCCUUCUCUAGCCCAAUUCAGCAACCUUCAUCAGCUUCCCGUUUUGCAAGGCACAUCUCGUCUGGUCCUGGCUGACUUCUCCAUUUCACUACCUGACACUUUUUUCUCCUUCACCCUAAACUCAACAUGCCACCUCUCACAUCCAGCCCGCACACAUGCUGCUGCUUCCCCACCAUUGGACCCCCCUCAACUCGUGCACAUGCGCGUACACACACACACACACACACACACACACAUCUUUUUUCCUCCGUGUGCACUCCAAAAUACUUUCAUUUUUUUUGACAAAACUUAUUUUUGUCACCUACCAUGUGUUAGCCACCUUACCAUGCUGAUGGCAGCUCUAUCUUAUCUUUCUUUAAAAUGGCUCCUUUGGGGUGUGUGGGUGGCUCAGUUGGUUAAGCAACCGCCUUUGG